UACGUAGGGCGCAAGCGUUGUCCGGAAUUAUUGGGCGUAAAGAGCUCGUAGGCGGUCUGUUACGUCUGCUGUGAAAACCCGGGGCUUAACCCUUGGCUUGCAGUGGAUACGGGCAGACUAGAGGCAGGUAGGGGAGAAUGGAAUUCCCGGUGUAGCGGUGAAAUGCGCAGAUAUCAGGAGGAACACCGGUGGCGAAGGCGGGACUCUGGGCCGAUACUGACGCUGAGGAGCGAAAGCGUGGGGAGCAAACAGG
rnacentral:rRNA from 1 species